CAACUCGAAUUUCAAUAAAAAAUGGCAGAAAAGAACCAAUUUAGGAUUCAUCAGAAAGACAAAUUCAUUUAAUUUUGGUUAUUUAAUUCGUCUCCCUCCCAGACAAAUUCACGAAACCCCCAAAAAAUUCAAAUUUAAUUAAUAUUAAUUUCUUGGUCGUCAAUCUGAGAUGGCAUGGCAGAGCGAGGAGAAGAUGUCGAAAUCAACUGAACAGCUUCGCAGAUAGAUGGGUAAGUGGGA
rnacentral:misc_RNA from 1 species